rnacentral:rRNA from 1 species
UCUGACCGUGCAAAGGUAGCAUAAUCAUUUGCCUUAUAAUUGAAGGCUAGUAUGAAUGGUUUGACAAGAAUAUGACUGUCUCUUUAUGAUUAAAUAGAAUUUUAUAUACAAGUGAAGAAGCUUGUAUCUAAUUAAAAGACAAGAAGACCCUAUCGAGCUUUAAAUAAAUUAAGAAAUUAAAUUCAAUUAAUAACACUAAAAAAUUAAUUCUUAAAAAUUUUAGUUGGGGCGACUGAGGAACAAAAAAAGCUUCCUUUUAACUAGUAUAAUUCACACAAGUAUUGAUCCAAAAUAUUUUGAUUAAAGAAAUUAGUUACCGUAGGGAUAACAGCAUUAUCUUUUUUAAGAGUUCUUAUCGAAAAAAAGGUUUGUGACCUCGAUGUUGGACCAGAAUAUCCCAAAGAUGCAGCAGUCUUUAAAGGUUGGUCUGUUCGACCAUUAAAAUUCUACGUGAUCUGAG